AUGCAGGAUUAGCUAGUUGGUGGGGGUAAGUGGCGUCACCAAGGCAACGAUCUUAAGUUGGUCUGAGAGGAUGAUCAGCCACACUGGAACUGAGACACGGUCCAGACUCCUACGGGAGGCAGCAGUGGGGAAUAUUGGACAAUGGGCGUAAGCCUGAUCCAGCGACGCCGCGUGAGUGAAGAAGGCCUUCGGGUUGUAAAGUUCUUUUAGUGGGGAAGAUAAUGACGGUACCCACAGAAAAAGCCCCGGCUAACUUCGUGCCAGC
rnacentral:rRNA from 1 species